GCCGUGAGGCGUGGGCGAGAAGAAGAGGGGGCGAAAUCGUAGCGCUUGACGAACAGAAUCUGAUAUAUGGCGUACUUGUGGAUAAGUUAGCAUAAGACAACGAAGUCAUAAAGGUAACCGUAAUCCAUGUGCGUAAAUCAGGCAGUUAGACGAGGAAAGAC
rnacentral:ncRNA from 1 species